GAUGAAGAACGCAGCGAAAUGCGAUAAGUAAUGUGAAUUGCAGAAUUCAGUGAAUCAUCGAAUCUUUGAACGCACAUUGCGCCCCUUGGUAUUCCGAGGGGCAUGCCUGUUCGAGCGUCAUUAUAACCCCUCAAGCUUAGCUUGGUGUUGGGGCCUGCUGUAAUAGAGCAGCCCUUAAAAUCAGUGGCGGUGCCAUUAGGCUCUAAGCGUAGUAAUUCUUCUCGCUAUAGGGUUCUGGUGGAUGCUUGCCAUUAACCUCUAAUUUUCUAUGGUUGACCUCGGAUCAGGUAGGGAUACCCGCUGAACUUAAGCAUAUCAAUAAGCGGAGG
rnacentral:misc_RNA from 1 species